rnacentral:rRNA from 1 species
GACGAACGCUGGCGGCGUGCUUAACACAUGCAAGUCGAACGGAAAGGCCCUGCUUUUGUGGGGUGCUCGAGUGGCGAACGGGUGAGUAACACGUGAGUAACCUGCCCUUGACUUUGGGAUAACUUCAGGAAACUGGGGCUAAUACCGGAUAGGAGCUCCUGCUGCAUGGUGGGGGUUGGAAAGUUUCGGCGGUUGGGGAUGGACUCGCGGCUUAUCAGCUUGUUGGUGGGGUAGUGGCUUACCAAGGCUUUGACGGGUAGCCGGCCUGAGAGGGUGACCGGCCACAUUGGGACUGCGGUACGGACCAGACUCCUACGGGGGGCAGCAGGGGGGAAGAUUGCACAAUGGGCGGAAGCCUGAGGCAGAAACGCCGCGUGCGGGAUGACGGCCUUCGGGUUGUAAACCGCUUUCGCCUGUGACGAAGCGUGAGUGACGGUAAUGGGUAAAGAAGCACCGGCUAACUACGUG